rnacentral:misc_RNA from 1 species
GAUGAAGAACGUAGCGAAAUGCGAUAAGUAAUGUGAAUUGCAGAAUUCAGUGAAUCAUCGAAUCUUUGAACGCACAUUGCGCCCGCCAGUAUUCUGGCGGGCAUGCCUGUUCGAGCGUCAUUACAACCCUCAGGCCCCCGGGCCUGGCGUUGGGGAUCGGCGGAAGCCCCCUGUGGGCACACGCCGUCCCUCAAAUACAGUGGCGGUCCCGCCGCAGCUUCCAUUGCGUAGUAGCUAACACCUCGCAACUGGAGAGCGGCGCGGCCAUGCCGUAAAACACCCAACUUCUGAAUGUUGACCUCGAAUCAGGUAGGGAUACCCGCUGAACUUAAGCAUAUCAAUAAGCGGAGGA